rnacentral:lncRNA from 1 species
AAGACUCUGACUGUUCAUUUAUGUUUUUAUAAUUUUGCUAAAGUAUUAGAAACUCAAAUGCUGCUAGAUCAUGCAAGAACAAUGUAGUUCCAACAACCUUUUGGAGAACAGAUGAGCUCUGUUGAGUUUAUGACUGAAGACAGUGUGUGUGAUGACACACGUGGAGACAACGCCGUGGCGGACUUCUCUGUGCUGUUAGUGUUGGUGCAUGCUGCCUGGGAGAGCCGCUGCAGCUGUGUUUGCUCUGUGUGUGGUGUGUGCCAGCCCAGACACCAUCCCAGAUGAACAGCUCUUAUCCAAAGGUGUCAGUGACAUGAAAUUUGUCACUGCAGAUAUCCAGAGAGCUGAAAUAAAGGAGUUGCUGGAGUGCUGAAAUGCAGAACCUAGAGCAAUACUGAAGUAUGGACUGGGUCUGAGCUGCUGUACAGCUGUUGAAGGCAGUCUGAGGCACCCUGGAGAGAGACCUGGGCUUUCAGUACCCUUCUCAGGCCCCCAGCCCUCCUAGAGCAUUCCUCAGCGAGAUCUGUCAGCUUGCCAUGCACAGCCAGUGGGUCCCUGUUGUGAGGACGGCAUGGGAGAGAUGACUUCCUUCCAGCCUAAGGGAUUGGGCACCGAAGACAGCACAGACAAGCAUCCUUGGUCAUUGCAUGGAAUAGAACAUUUCAACAGCUCAAACACACUGGUAAUGCUCCAGGAGAGGAAUGAAUGUUUCCUUCCCAGACAUGUCAUUUUGUAUUAGCAGAAGCUGGACAGCUUGAGGAUUAUUGCUUGUAUAUCUGGAAUUAAAUUUCUAGCUCUCCGAAUGCUCAUCCUUUAUAGCAGUGCCAUGUUCUCGGGAGUUUAGCCAGUAAUAGUGUUUGCUGCCACAAUAGAUACAAGUUGUUGGAAGCUGGUCACAUCCACUCUCCUUCUUUACUGAACAUAAUGAAUGAUCACCCAUUGCGUGGAUAACAAAGCAAUCAGGAAGUAAAACCUUUCUUGUUCUUUUUUGGCUCAAUGAAAGGCAAUACACGUGCUUGCUAACAACUACAUGGCCAAAGAAAACACUCAAAUAAACCUGCGAGUUUGUUCUUGCUUGGGGAGCAGGAGAAGUUAAUGCCAUGAGGCCAUUCUAAAGUGGACCAGGUGAGUUGGAUACAUUAAAAUGAUUAAUAACAGGGAUGGUGAAUGAUGUCCCUCAAGAACAUACAUGAUUCUUUCCUCCACCACUUGUCUUCAGUCUUUGCAUUGAGAUAAAAAUCAGUUACUUAUAUGUACAAAAAUAAAGGAAGGAGCUCAUAAAAAAUUAAAAAGUGGUAUCAGAAUGCAAAAUAAAUAAGACAGAAUAUGAACCAAGUCUUGUAACAAUGUUAAAUACAUGAAAUGAGGCUGUAAGUCUGUGAUUGCAGUAAGAGGCACACAGGGGCAUUUGAGUUCGGUCCUAAAGAGCAGAAAGCAUUUUGUCAUGUAGAAAUGGAAAGAGCGCCUCAGGCAGCUGAAAUAGUACACAAGUGGGUGAAGAGGGGAGAAACGCCUUUGAGGGCAUGGAGUUUGGCUGUGUAGACAGGGCAUAUGGAUUCAGUCUACAGAGAGCAGGCUGGCGAUGCAACUGGGUGAUGAGCACAGGGCAGGCUGAACCAGCAGAAGAGCCCAGGACCCCUCCAAAUAGAAGCAGUUUAAAAAUUCCCUCUCAGGUUUGUUAUUUAAUACUUCAGAGGAUACAAACAACAUAUCAAAAGAAGUGUCAGGAUUGGAUUUUUAUGUGAAAUUUCAUUUGGCUACUGGGUUUUGUUUUAUUAGAAGAGUCUAUCAUUGCUUGUUGUCAGCAUACAAGUCUUCACGCUGAGGGGGCACCUGGCACUUCCUGCAGUGGUGGGGUUUUAUAGCAUGCACCACACAGCUGCACCACCGCCCGCCUCCUGACCUGACCCAUGCAACACAGCACUCUGCAGAUGCCUCUUGUUCCUGGUCAUCCGGGAGUCUCCUCACUAACCAUUUCCAGCUGUUAGCACCUAUAUGGGCCACUGUUUGGAAAAAUGCGGAGACCAUUUGGACCCAAAUGUCUUACUUAAUGUUUCAUUGAUGCAUACUUCAUAUACCACAAAUAUCACCAAUUAUAAGCAUAAAAUAUGAUAAGUUUUGACAUAAAAACUCAGUCUUAUAUUCACCAUUACAUUACAGAAAGUUCCUUCCUUAUGUUUGAAAAAAUUCAUUUUAAAAAGAAAGGCUGUGGUGUCCUUGUGGAAUACACUCGUGGGCUUUCAGUGUGAGACGCCUUCUGGGAGCCAUGAUCAAGCCUGGACUUUGAAUAAGGCAGCUGGAGAGUGGAGGAUUCAUGGAAGGUACACUUUGGAGGAGGAGAUCUAGAAACUUUGUUAGUGUGUAUGAUGGGAUGUAAUAGCAAUCAAUUACAUAUCAAUAACUAGGGUAAAUUUUCAACAUUAUUGUUGAUAAUAGAAACCGAUGAGUUACCUACGCAAAUAAUAAUUUAAGAAAGGUUAAUUUUUGUUGUGGUUCUAUAAAAAUAAUGCUGUUUACCCGAACUGAUCCAUGCUCUUCACCAUUUAUGCAAGAUUAUCUUGCAGAAGCAUAGCAAUUAUAUACAUCACUAAUGUGGUCGGGGCUCUUGAGUGAAUUCUGUUUCAUUGGCAUUAAGCACAUUCUUCAGUGCUAAACAAUGAGGUAGCUUCUCAUGUUGUGUGAUAUUUAACAAAUUUAGCACAUUGAAAAGGCUCUCUGGGGUAAAAUAAGAUGUUUGUAAGUUGACAUUUUGUAUAUUUUCCUAAGCCAAUGUAAAUACUAUACAAAGAGAUGGCAGUGAGGCUUCUGCAAGGUAUCAAUACAACCUCAAAUGACUAAGUGCAUGGCAUUUUCUAAAUUUUUAAAAUUACUUCUUGAAUACUUAUUAUGCCCUUAUUCCACACCAGGUAGUGGAGAUAUAAAUAGAGAUCGUUUCUAUUUCCAUUAAGCUUUAAAACUUAGUGGAAAGAAAACUGACUUUAAUCAAAUAAUGCUACCAAGAUAUAAUGUAAGUGAUAAGUGCAAAGAAGAAAAAGCGUUAAUUGUAGAGCAUCUAUACUUGGGAAUCCUAAUACACUCUGGAAAAUAGCUGAAAAGUUUCUUUGAGAUCAUGACAUUUGAAUUGAAAUCUCAAGUUCAGGGACUAGAAAUGAGGAUCUGAACCAAGAGAGGAGCUUUUUCCAGGACAGGAGUUUGGACAAUGUGAAGCACUUGAGAAGAUGGAAGAUGGUGAAUGUGAGCUGAGGCGAGUGGAGAGGGAGAGUAGAGGAGACAAGGCAGAUAGAGCAGACACUUGAUCGUGAGGGACAUGGGAGGCCAUGCCACGGACUUGACCCUUUCUCUUACCUGUGAUGACUCGUCUGAGAGACUUUAUGCAGGAGAGCAGCACGAUUGCCUUUGGAAAUGGCCAUCAGGCAGCCAUGUGGAGUCUCUAUUGCUCAGAAGACAGCAGGACACCACCUGGAAGCAAUUCCGAGUAAGACACAGUGCUCAAGACAAUGUUCGGAUUAACCCUACAUUCCACCAAUAGGUAUCAAGGACUCCCGACGUUUCAGGCAUGGCACGGGGAUUGGGACAGAGCAGUGGGAAAAUGACAAAGGCCCUGCUUUUCAUUCUAGUGGGUGUGUCAAGGGCUUAGAAGAUCAGUAACAAAGGACAAUGUGGGAGAGAAAAGAAUGGAACAAAAAAAUGACAGGAAUGAAAGUAGAUCUCUGCGUUUACACUGGGGAAAUGUCAAAGUUCUGAGGGGAAAGGAGAAAACAACAGUGAACCCUACUCUGAACCAGUGUCAACAAUUAAUUAACAAAGUAUAGAAAUUAGCUGAUUUUUUUUUGCAUGUGUACCCUGUAAGAACAGGAGAGGAAUUUUAUUAGAACCCCCUUUUCUAGAGGGAUAAUGGCCGGGCUGUUCAUUUUCUGUGAUUUGCAGUUCUGUAAAUAUAUUUAUAAUGAUCAUCAACUCUAUAUCUAGCCUACAGAUUCACAACUCAAAUAUAGUAAAUAUGGAGCAUCUGAAAAUGCACAGCUGCUGUGUUUACUAAAGCACUUAUUACAUAAAAAUAAUAUCUGUUAUUCAAUUGGGUUCUAAAUUUGAACAUGAUACAUACAAUUCUGGUUAUAUUCACUAUUGGAGUUAAGGAAAAUGAAUGAGGUCUACCUAAAUUGAUAUGUGAGAAAUUAAAAGCAGAAUAAACACCCACCCACAGUGAGUGGC